GGGUAGCUGUUCCCUUCUCCAGGGGAUCUUCCCAACCCUGGUCUCUCACAUUGCAGGUGGAUUCUUUACCAGCAGAGCCACCAAGGAAGCCCAGUUAUCUCUGAAACUCAACCUGUUUUGGACUUACAACCCAAUCUGUGGAAUGUAGAUUGAAGACAUAUAGAAUGCCAAGUAAUUCUGUUACCUAACUGGAACCUGAGCCAUCAACUUCCUGGUGUUAUGCUCGAAGUCCAAGUACCCAAAACUGAGAGAAGAGAGACUGUCCAGUGGGAAGAAGAGAAUGAAGAUUGUCCCAGGGUUUUCUUUCAAAGAAAAUACAGCAAGAUUUGAAGAAACCAAAUAUGGCCAUUGAGUCUACAGUCUGCCCAUAAAUGGUAGUGAUAUAGCUAUUUCUACAACACUGUCUCUGAGUGUGCAACAGAUAAAGAAUAAGAGAG
ensembl:lncRNA